AAAUUGAAGAGUUUGAUCAUGGCUCAGAUUGAACGCUGGCGGCAGGCCUAACACAUGCAAGUCGAACGGUAACAGGAAGCAGCUUGCUGCUUUGCUGACAAGUGGCGGACGGGUGAGUAAUGUCUGGGAAACUGCCUGAUGGAGGGGGAUAACUACUGGAAACGGUAGCUAAUACCGCAUAACGUCGCAAGACCAAAGAGGGGGACCUUCGGGCCUCUUGCCAUUGGAUGUGCCCAGAUGGGAUUAGCUAGUAGGUGGGGUAACG
rnacentral:rRNA from 1 species